UGUUCGAAUACAUUCCUCGAUGUGACCGAUGGAUCGAUAGUAUUUUGCUCACUUUCUCCGAAAAAUAAACGCUGAACACGCGGGAACGAGAGGGAAGAAGGGUGAACCGGGUGGUGAGUUCGAUUCUCUUUCCGCCCCACCACCGGCUUUUCCCGCGGAACAGCCGCAUGCGCCGUAAAAAAGCACGGCCGCUACGAGUUUCGUUUCACUCUUCGGGGUUCGUCUACCCAUUGCCCGAUAAAAAAGCUCCGCUUGCGCGGCUCUCGUUCGUCGCGGACAUAACUGUUCGUCCGCGGUUCGUGUCUUCAUCGUCAUUAUCAUCGCCGUCGUCUUCGUUGUUAUCUUCGUUGCACAAACGCCUCGUCAUCGUCGUGCGAUUUUCGUCUCGUGUUGUUUCGAGGGAAGAAACGAGACGACUGAUAGUCGAGAACGAAGAAGAAGAAGAAGAAGAAGAGUGCAGCGGGGCUUCGUGCCGACAGGGAUGUCGCGAUGCGAAGAAAGAAGUGCAUCCAUACGGGUGUGGACGGAUGAGAAUGGGACGAGGAGGUGGGGACGCUGCGACGGACGGUGAGAGAGAGUGUUAAGAAGAUGAAAAUCCGGCUCUGGAUGCUAGGAGCGGUGUCUUUCCACCCGCCACCUACGUACGUUUCGCUACAAUCGUCGUGACCGACGUCCAUGGUGGCUUCCAGUACGUCGGCGAUAAGGGUUGCUUCUCGGUGGAAAGCCGUGGGGUACGUAGUAAUGACAAUAAAAAAAUAUCUCCGUAAAGGUAAGACGAUUCGAGAAAGCAAUUACAUGGUAAUAAAUUGUAACAGACGAAGCGUCAAUUUUAUAUUAGCUAGUUAUUCAGCUCAUUAAUUAUUAAUCGCUGCGCGGAAAUAGAUAUACAAGAAUUAAAAAAUUAAUGCAUAGAUAUCUAUACAUAUAUGUAUAGAUAUUACAUAGUUGAAUAUUCUGAUUUAGGGAUUUUUGAUGUUAGCAUUUAAAAUUGAUCUACGUCACGUUAAUAAUAAAAUAAGAUAAAUUAAAUUAAAUUAAGUUUAUGAUUGAAUAUUCGUUUUUUGAUUCAUUGUACAUAAGUUAAGGUUUAUAUAAUAGAAACGUUUGGAUUAAGCUUCCAUAUUUAAUUAUUGUUUAUUAAUAUAGCAGAAAUGUACUAAUAGAAAGAUUUAAUACUUUAAUUACAUUGCGAUUAUAUUAAAGAGAUGAGUCGCUCCCUUAAUGCAUAUCCCUGAAAUGGAAAAUAAAGAUAUCCUUAUUCUAACCGA